ensembl:lncRNA
GAGGCAUGCAAUGCUGGAAAGAGGGGGUGCGGGAAGCAGAGGUAUGAAUGAAAUAGAGCGUCGAGGGCUUAAAGAUAGGGGCAAAAGAGGAAGCGCAAGCAAGAGAUACGUGCACGCGAGUGGCAGAGCUUUGAUGAAAGCAGUCAACUGCUGUGCUGACAGUUUAAUGAAAACAAUAAUAGACCAGCUUUUUUCACGCCUUUUAAAUUAUCUUUUGAUCUUUCUUCCUCGAUCACACAGCAAGUCAAGUCAUCCCCCACUUUUUUACAGACUGAAAUACCUCAACAGCUGCUAGACAGUGCCAUGAAAUUUUGAUCCCCUGAGUUUUACGUCGGUCCACAAUGAAGUCUGCAAUAUUUUUUGCAGACAAUCAUGUUUCCCAUAGGAUGAUCUGCAACGAGCUUUUGAAGAUAAACGGCUGUGUGAGUAUACUCGGUUUCUAUUUCUCUCUUCCACCUUUAGUCCUCUUUCUGUUUUUCAUUUCCCCAGCAUCCCCACUUCAUUUUCUCAGUUGUACGUCCAUGUCAUCCCUUCUCUCCUAGGUAGCAUUUGGUAUCAAAUAAAGUUUCUUCUUUGUUUCUUUUUUGUUGUUCUUUUUCUUUUUGAGAAAUAUUUGUAUCUUUCUCUCUCACACAGUUGGAUGUUGGCACCUGUCAGUUUUCUUGAGAUCUAUGAUUGAGUUUCUCAUUUCAUUAUUACGCCACUUUCCAUUCAUGCGAGACGAGACAGAGUCAGAUGCUGUGCCUCAAUGGGCAUGUGUUUCUUUGCAUCUCAAGUAGCUACUGAAUGCGUUGCAUCAGUGAGAUGGCAAACAGUCAAAUUCAGAACAAGGUUAUGUCCAAAAUCAUUACGUCCUUCAUUACUUCCUGUCCCCUGCUGAAGUUCUAUGAGUUCUAUUUGUUGGUUCAUCUGAAAAAGAGAAAACAUUGAUUUUUGUUUUUUAUGAAUACAAAAUACACUGAGUGUAUUUUACAGUCAAGUUAGAAGUUAGUAGCAAGUUGUAAGCCAGUUGGAAGUUGGUUUCCAUUUAAAGAUUUAAUGCUUUGCCUGAAGUAUUUCUCUCUCAUUUCCUUUCAUCCAUCCAUUUUCUGCCACUUAACCAAGUCUGGGUCAGGGGGUGGGAGUAAAAACAGAGAUACCCAAACUUCCCUGUUCACACUUCCUCCACCUUGGAAUCCGAGGGGACAUCAAGGUGCUCCAUAGCCAGUUUCAGAGUGCCAUCUACUUGGGGGCCUCCUCCAUCUUAGUCAGAUACCUCAGAUCCACCUCAAAUGGUUUCCUUUGAUGUGGAGAUAUCCUGGCUUUAGCAGGGCCCCUGCUAGAUGGGUGAGCUCCUCACCAUAUCUACUAAGAGAGAGCCACCCUUCAGCAGAAACUUCCUUCUUCUGCUUUUAUCAGCAGUCUCAUUCUUUUGGUCACUAACCCCCUUGUGGGCAUAGGUGGGGGUAGGGAUCGGAAGGUCAGGGGUUUGAAUCCACUGAGCGGCUACCCUGAAGUACCCUUGAGCAAGGUACCGUCUCUACACACUGCUCCCUGGGUGCUGGGGUUAAAUGCAAAGAACUACAAAAUUUCCCACGUGUGGGACUAUAAGGGGUUUAAAAUAAAGAAAAAUGUAAUUAAAAAAAAAAAGUAGAUCGACCACUAAAUCAACAGCUUUAACGCCACACUCAGCUUUCUCUUCACCACAGUAGAGUGAUGAUGAUUAAAUCCAUAAGAUAAAAAAAUAUAGAGAUGUUAACAAUUGCUCUGUGUGUGAUAAUCCUUGUCCAAAACUUGGCCCACACACAUGAAGGAAACAGGGUAGAUAAAGACAUUUAGCAUUUUUCUGAUAGUACCUACUUGGUCCGGCUCAGCACGAUUCGACUCGGUCUCUGGGGAUUUCCUCAUACCAGGUACUGUUUUAGGAUCUACUCAUACGGGGUUGUAAGAGAUCUGAUGUCACCGAUUGGCGAGUCAGUGACAUCACUAGAUGACUCAAUCGACUCCUCCAUUGUUCUGGGUAAUAUAAAAAUGACCUCACAGUACUUUUGGCCAUGUUGCUUUAACAACCCCACGCACAUUAGGUG